GAACUGCGAUAAGUAAUGUGAAUUGCAGAAUUCAGUGAAUCAUCGAGUCCUUGAACGCACAUUGCGCCCCCUGGCAUUCCGGGGGGCAUGCCUGUCCGAGCGUCAUCGCUGCCCUUCAAGCCCGGCUUGUGUGUUGGGUCGUCGUCCCCUCCGGGGGACGGGCCCGAAAGGCAGCGGCGGCACCGCGUCCGGUCCUCGAGCGUAUGGGGCUUUGUCACCCGCUCGAUAAGGACCGGCCGGGCGCCAGCCGGCGUCUCCAACCUUUUUUUCUCAGGUUGACCUCGGAUCAGGUAGGGAUACCCGCUGAACUUAAGC
rnacentral:misc_RNA from 1 species